UACGAAGGGGGUUAGCGUUGUUCGGAAUUACUGGGCGUAAAGCGUAUGCAGGCGGACUUUUAAGUCGGGGGUGAAAUCCCGAGGCUCAACCUCGGAACUGCCUUCGAUACUGGAAGUCUUGAGUCCGGGAGAGGUGAGUGGAACUCCGAGUGUAGAGGUGAAAUUCGUAGAUAUUCGGAAGAACACCAGUGGCGAAGGCGGCUCACUGGCCCGGUACUGACGCUGAGAUACGAAAGCGUGGGGAGCAAACAGG
rnacentral:rRNA from 1 species